GAUGAACGCUAGCGGCAGGCUUAAUACAUGCAAGUCAAGGGGGUAGCAAUACAACCGGCGCACGGGUGAGUAACGCGUACACAACAUACCAUAUACUGGAGUAUAGCUUUGGGAAACUGAAGGUAAUCCUCCAUAACAUUGCGAGAGGGCAUCUGAUUGCAAUUAAAGUUUCGGCGGUAUAUGAUUGGUGUGCGUUUGAUUAGCUAGUUGGUAGGGUAACGGCCUACCAAGGCGACGAUCAAUAGCUGGCGUGAGAGCGCGACCAGCCACACUGGAACUGAGACACGGUCCAGACUCCUACGGGAGGCAGCAGUGGGGAAUAUUGGACAAUGGACCAAAAGUCUGAUCCAGCAAUUCUGUGUGCUUGAUGAAGGCCUCGGUUGUAA
rnacentral:rRNA from 1 species